rnacentral:rRNA from 1 species
CUAAGUUUGAUGGCGACCGGCGCACGGGUGAGUAACACGUAUCCAACCUGCCGAUGACUCGGGGAUAGCCUUUCGAAAGAAAGAUUAAUACCCGAUGGCAUAGUUCUUCCGCAUGGUAGAACUAUUAAAGAAUUUCGGUCAUCGAUGGGGAUGCGUUCCAUUAGGUUGUUGGCGGGGUAACGGCCCACCAAGCCUCGAUGGAUAGGGGUUCUGAGAGGAAGGUCCCCCACAUUGGAACUGAGACACGGUCCAAACUCCUACGGGAGGCAGCAUG